AACGAACGCUAGCGGCAUGCCUAACACAUGCAAGUCGAACGAGACCUUCGGGUCUAGUGGCGCACGGGUGCGUAACGCGUGGGAACCUGCCCUUAGGUUCGGAAUAACUCCCCGAAAGGGGUGCUAAUACCGGAUAAUGUCUUCGGACCAAAGAUUUAUCGCCUUUGGAUGGGCCCGCGUUGGAUUAGCUAGUUGGUAGAGUAAAAGCCUACCAAGGCGACGAUCCAUAGCUGGUCUGAGAGGAUGAUCAGCCACACUGGGACUGAGACACGGCCCAGACUCCUACGGGAGGCAGCAGUGGGGAAUAUUGGACAAUGGGCGAAAGCCUGAUCCAGCAAUGCCGCGUGAGUGAUGAAGGCCUUAGGGUUGUAAAGCUCUUUUACCCGGGAUGAUAAUGACAGUACCGGGAGAAUAAGCUCCGGCUAACUCCGUG
rnacentral:rRNA from 1 species